rnacentral:rRNA from 1 species
UUAAGCGACUAAGCGUACACGGUGGAUGCCCUGGCAGUCAGAGGCGAUGAAGGACGUGCUAAUCUGCGAUAAGCGUCGGUAAGGUGAUAUGAACCGUUAUAACCGGCGAUUUCCGAAUGGGGAAACCCAGUGUGUUUCGACACACUAUCAUUAACUGAAUCCAUAGGUUAAUGAGGCGAACCGGGGGAACUGAAACAUCUAAGUACCCCGAGGAAAAGAAAUCAACCGAGAUUCCCCCAGUAGCGGCGAGCGAACGGGGAGNNNNNNNNNNNNNNNNNNNNNNNNNNNNNNNNNNNNNNNNNNNNNNNCCAUCCUCCAAGGCUAAAUACUCCUGACUGACCGAUAGUGAACCAGUACCGUGAGGGAAAGGCGAAAAGAACCCCGGCGAGGGGAGUGAAAAAGAACCUGAAACCGUGUACGUACAAGCAGUGGGAGCACGCUUAGGCGUGUGACUGCGUACCUUUUGUAUAAUGGGUCAGCGACUUAUAUUCUGUAGCAAGGUUAACCGAAUAGGGGAGCCGAAGGGAAACCGAGUCUUAACUGGGCGUUAAGUUGCAGGGUAUAGACCCGAAACCCGGUGAUCUAGCCAUGGGCAGGUUGAAGGUUGGGUAACACUAACUGGAGGACCGAACCGACUAAUGUUGAAAAAUUAGCGGAUGACUUGUGGCUGGGGGUGAAAGGCCAAUCAAACCGGGAGAUAGCUGGUUCUCCCCGAAAGCUAUUUAGGUAGCGCCUCGUGAAUUCAUCUCCGGGGGUAGAGCACUGUUUCGGCAAGGGGGUCAUCCCGACUUACCAACCCGAUGCAAACUGCGAAUACCGGAGAAUGUUAUCACGGGAGACACACGGCGGGUGCUAACGUCCGUCGUGAAGAGGGAAACAACCCAGACCGCCAGCUAAGGUCCCAAAGUCAUGGUUAAGUGGGAAACGAUGUGGGAAGGCCCAGACAGCCAGGAUGUUGGCUUAGAAGCAGCCAUCAUUUAAAGAAAGCGUAAUAGCUCACUGGUCGAGUCGGCCUGCGCGGAAGAUGUAACGGGGCUAAACCAUGCACCGAAGCUGCGGCAGCGACGCUUAUGCGUUGUUGGGUAGGGGAGCGUUCUGUAAGCCUGCGAAGGUGUGCUGUGAGGCAUGCUGGAGGUAUCAGAAGUGCGAAUGCUGACAUAAGUAACGAUAAAGCGGGUGAAAAGCCCGCUCGCCGGAAGACCAAGGGUUCCUGUCCAACGUUAAUCGGGGCAGGGUGAGUCGACCCCUAAGGCGAGGCCGAAAGGCGUAGUCGAUGGGAAACAGGUUAAUAUUCCUGUACUUGGUGUUACUGCGAAGGGGGGACGGAGAAGGCUAUGUUGGCCGGGCGACGGUUGUCCCGGUUUAAGCGUGUAGGCUGGUUUUCCAGGCAAAUCCGGAAAAUCAAGGCUGAGGCGUGAUGACGAGGCACUACGGUGCUGAAGCAACAAAUGCCCUGCUUCCAGGAAAAGCCUCUAAGCAUCAGGUAACAUCAAAUCGUACCCCAAACCGACACAGGUGGUCAGGUAGAGAAUACCAAGGCGCUUGAGAGAACUCGGGUGAAGGAACUAGGCAAAAUGGUGCCGUAACUUCGGGAGAAGGCACGCUGAUAUGUAGGUGAAGUCCCUUGCGGAUGGAGCUGAAAUCAGUCGAAGAUACCAGCUGGCUGCAACUGUUUAUUAAAAACACAGCACUGUGCAAACACGAAAGUGGACGUAUACGGUGUGACGCCUGCCCGGUGCCGGAAGGUUAAUUGAUGGGGUCAGCGCAAGCGAAGCUCUUGAUCGAAGCCCCGGUAAACGGCGGCCGUAACUAUAACGGUCCUAAGGUAGCGAAAUUCCUUGUCGGGUAAGUUCCGACCUGCACGAAUGGCGUAAUGAUGGCCAGGCUGUCUCCACCCGAGACUCAGUGAAAUUGAACUCGCUGUGAAGAUGCAGUGUACCCGCGGCAAGACGGAAAGACCCCGUGAACCUUUACUAUAGCUUGACACUGAACAUUGAGCCUUGAUGUGUAGGAUAGGUGGGAGGCUUUGAAGUGUGGACGCCAGUCUGCAUGGAGCCGGCCUUGAAAUACCACCCUUUAAUGUUUGAUGUUCUAACGUGGACCCGUGAUCCGGGUUGCGGACAGUGUCUGGUGGGUAGUUUGACUGGGGCGGUCUCCUCCUAAAGAGUAACGGAGGAGCACGAAGGUUGGCUAAUCCUGGUCGGACAUCAGGAGGUUAGUGCAAUGGCAUAAGCCAGCUUGACUGCGAGCGUGACGGCGCGAGCAGGUGCGAAAGCAGGUCAUAGUGAUCCGGUGGUUCUGAAUGGAAGGGCCAUCGCUCAACGGAUAAAAGGUACUCCGGGGAUAACAGGCUGAUACCGCCCAAGAGUUCAUAUCGACGGCGGUGUUUGGCACCUCGAUGUCGGCUCAUCACAUCCUGGGGCUGAAGUAGGUCCCAAGGGUAUGGCUGUUCGCCAUUUAAAGUGGUACGCGAGCUGGGUUUAGAACGUCGUGAGACAGUUCGGUCCCUAUCUGCCGUGGGCGCUGGAGAACUGAGGGGGGCUGCUCCUAGUACGAGAGGACCGGAGUGGACGCAUCACUGGUGUUCGGGUUGUCAUGCCAAUGGCACUGCCCGGUAGCUAAAUGCGGAAGAGAUAAGUGCUGAAAGCAUCUAAGCACGAAACUUGCCCCGAGAUGAGUUCUCCCUGACCCUUUAAGGGUCCUGAAGGAACGUUGAAGACGACGACGUUGAUAGGCCGGGUGUGUAAGCGCAGCGAUGCGUUGAGCUAACCGGUACUAAUGAACCGUGAGGCUUAACCUU